CAAAAGCCCCUUUUAUAACGAUUUUUAUUCUGGGAAAAGCAAACCAAAGACGUAACUACUUUAUUGCCCACAUCUCUGUCUUAUCUCUUCUUCGAUGUUCAUUACAAUAAAUCGCAAGAAGGAGAAGAUUGAAGAAUCAGAUCCACGCUGAGAGCAACGAUUUUAUGUUUGUCAACUCCAUUCACUCUAUUUGUUAGUCAGUCAAGCAAAUGAAAAAAGAAAUCUCGUUCCCACUAGUAGAUCUGCCAUUAACCUCUCUCUUCCGAGACAUGCAAUCGAAAUCCUAAUCUUGUCUUCGAAGGAUAAAUCUUCCUUUUUCAAGAAACCAAGAUCUCGAUAAGAAAAAAAGUCAAUGAUCGAGUGAUUUUGCCUGGGUUAUCUUGAUGCUGUAAUGGAAAAUGCAAAACAAUUGAUAUAACAAAAGGGGACUGCAAGAAGAAACCGACAACAUGUUAUUCAUCUUCAGACUAUUUUCAUGUGGCUCAGCGUCAUGCCUUAGCCCAGAGAUCAAAUCCCUGGAGCGAUUUUUGUGAGGAAAACGAAGAUUCAAUCAUUAAUUUUCUGUGUCUCAGCUAACCUUCUAAUGCACGAGUGAUUCAAAGAUUGGAGACUAAUUGAUAGCUUUAAACUUGCGACCAGCAAUGAAAGCAGAGGAUAAU